AAUAUUAGACAAUGGGCGAAAGCCUGAUCCAGCCAUGCCGCGUGUGUGAAGUAGGUCUUCGUAUUGUAAAGCACUUUAAGUUGGGAGGCAGUGGUUGAAGCUAAUACCUUCAAUCUUUGCCGUUACCAACAGAAUAAGCACCGUCUAACUCUGUGCCAGCUGCCGCGGUAAUACAGAGGGUGCAAGCGUUACACGGAAUUACUGGACGUAAAGCGCGCGUAGGUGGUUCAGUAAGAUGGAAGUGAAAUCCCCGGGCUUAACCUGGGAACUGCUUUCAUAACUGCUGAGCUAGAGUACGGUAGAGGGUAGUGGAAUUUCCUGUGUAGCGGUGAAAUGCGUAGAUAUAGGAAGGAACACCAGUGGCGAAGGCGACUACCUGGACUGAUACUGACACUGAGGUGCGAAAGCGUGGGGAGCAAACAGG
rnacentral:rRNA from 1 species